rnacentral:lncRNA from 1 species
AUGUACGUGGAUGAAUGCCUCUCUCGCCUCCUCCUUCCUGAAUUCCGUCAUUUCGUGACGCCUGUCUCCUUCCCCUGGACCCCGCUCUGUGGGACGCAAUGCCCGACCCCUGCAGCACCUCCUGCACCCCCAUCCCCAGCAUCCCUGGAGGCCCUGAAGAUGCAGCUCCUAAAGAAAGGCGGGCAGGAUGGGGAGACAGGAGACGGGGGUUCUGAUGCGUCUGGGCCGCUGACUUGCUGUGUAACACGGGCAGGCGCUGCCCCUCUCUGUCCAGAGGGUCUGAAAGAGCAGGCCUGAGAGCCACCUCUGUGAGCGGACCCUGGAACCCAGGGGCCGGACCCAGAGGGGGAGAGCCGUGGAGUCGCAGUCACACCUGCUUGACUGACACCGUGUCACAGAGCGGCCUCGGCGGAGAGCACCCCCUACCACCGGGUCAGGUCCCCUUCGGACCCUCAGGGCUUGGGGUGCUGAGUGUGGCACAGCCCCUGGUGUGAGCGGAGGUCCUGGUUAUCUGACGGGUGAUGGACCCUCCUCCCUUUUCCUUGCCCCAAAUGCCCCCUCCUCACUGGCUGUCAGAAUUUCUUUCUUUAGGUUCAGCAAUCACCUGUUUUGUGUCCCUGGCCGCUGGAAAGGGCAUCAACAGCAUUGACUAAGCACUUACUGAGUGCCAGACACUCUUCCAGAUGCUGUGUACAAAACAGCAUCUCUGCCCUCAAGACCCACUCGAGCCUGGGGCGAAGGGAGAAAGAUAAGAAAGAGAUGGAUGGCAAAAAGCUCAGGGGCUAGUGAGCGCAAGAAAGAGGAUGUGUCAGGAAACUUCUAAGAGACUUUGAAAUGGGCCAAAAAAGAUAACUGGGUGUCCUGUCUGGCCAUCUGAUUCUGUAGGGGCCUGAACUUUUCAUUUCUUCUACCUGCAAAUGAUUCCUAUGCGUAGAGACUCAAGUGGAUUUUGUGGGAAUGCUAUUAAUUACGGCUCUGUGGGCACUGACCAUUUUUACAUCCAUUUAUAAAUUCAUCUCAUAUUCCUGAUUGCCAAUAUAUAGCUGUCUUUGAAGACUCCUUUGAAAUAGUUGUAACAUCUUACUGGUUUCCCCAUAAAUUAAUGAGUCAAAUGAAAUCUUUGACUUGUGUUCAUCUUAUAUUUAUAGGAGAAUCAUGAUUUUACCUUAAAAAAGUCUCCUUUAACAGUGACUAAGAGUGACUUAGGAAGGGUGGUCAGGGAGGGCCUCUCUGAGGAGGUGGCACUGAGUUCAAAAGGGAGAGACAAGCAAAGCUGUGGGUGGUGGCCUUCCAGGUG